rnacentral:rRNA from 1 species
GGCGCAAGCCUGAUCCAGCCAUGCCGCGUGUGUGAAGAAGGCCUUAUGGUUGUAAAGCACUUUAAGCGAGGAGGAGGCUACUUUAGAUAAUACCUAGAGAUAGUGGACGUUACUCGCAAAAUAAGCACCGGCUAACUCUGUGCCAGCAGCCGCGGUAAUACAGAGGGUGCAAGCGUUAAUCGGAUUUACUGGGCGUAAAGCGCGCGUAGGCGGCUAAUUAAGUCAAAUGUGAAAUCCCCGAGCUUAACUUGGGAAUUGCAUUCGAUACUGGUUAGCUAGAGUGUGGGAGAGGAUGGUAGAAUUCCAGGUGUAGCGGUGAAAUGCGUAGAGAUCUGGAGGAAUACCGAUGGCGAAGGCAGCCAUCUGGCCUAACACUGACGCUGAGGUGCGAAAGCAUGGGGAGCAAACAGGAUUAGAUACCCUGGUAGUCCAUGCCGUAAACGAUGUCUACUAGCCGUUGGGGCCUUUGAGGCUUUAGUGGCGCAGCUAACGCGAUAAGUAGACCGCCUGGGGAGUACGGUCGCAAGACUAAAACUCAAAUGAAUUGACGGGGGCCCGCACAAGCGGUGGAGCAUGUGGUUUAAUUCGAUGCAACGCGAAGAACCUU